UACGUAGGGUGCGAGCGUUGUCCGGAAUUAUUGGGCGUAAAGGGCUCGUAGGCGGUUUGUCGCGUCGGGAGUGAAAACCUUGGGCUUAACUCAGGGCUUGCUUUCGAUACGGGCAGACUAGAGGUAUGCAGGGGAGAACGGAAUUCCCGGUGUAGCGGUGAAAUGCGCAGAUAUCAGGAGGAACACCGGUGGCGAAGGCGGUUCUCUGGGCAUGAUCUGACGCUGAGGAGCGAAAGUGUGGGGAGCGAACAGG
rnacentral:rRNA from 1 species